rnacentral:tRNA from 1 species
GUUAAGAUGUCUGAUUUAAAAGUGGUAAACUGUAAAUUUACUUAUGGGGUUUCCCUCUUAAUA